CAUAGGGGAGUAACUAGCGGUUUAACCGCGGCAAUGUCACCAACAAGAAAGUUCUUUUUCUGGUAUUGCCUUAAAUAGUGAGACUUAUGUAUGUUCAAAGUUCCGCAACAUACAUAAGUCUUUUUUU
rnacentral:ncRNA from 1 species